AUUGUAGAGAGGAAAAGCAACCAGGAAUAAAAGGCCAUGGAGGAGAGCAGCCUGGGUAGAGGACGUGUGUGUGCAGACUAUGUGUGGAAUUCCUGGGACAGCUGAGUGUGCAAAUCAGCCUGUGAGUGAGCCUGUAGGGCUCUUGUCUGCACCUGUGUCUUAUUUGAUCUGGCUGUAACCCCAGCCCUGAUAGGCCUCUCUGAAGUGUGAAGCUGCCCUCUUGGGAAGCCUCCUUCUCCUGAGGGUGCUAUGCAGCUAGACUGUGUAGGCAGGAGUUGCCCUGUAGGUCCCUGAGCAGGUCCUGCCGGUCCCGCGCUCAGAAGUGAUGAACUGAUCAGAUAGACCAGGCCAGGCCUGCUCCAGGCUGCUGAUUAUCCAAGUGACUCUGCUCUUA
ensembl:scaRNA